UCCCCUCCAGGCAGCACCGCCGAGCAGCCAGGAGUCUUUCUUGGCUCCUGACCCAAGUACCUGUCCUUCCCCGGGUGAUGGACAGCAGGCCUGGUCUCAGUUUUAAGGGAGGUCCCGCCUUCCCUGACCCGUUCACAUAGAUCUGAACAUGCACCACGGUAUGAAGAGAUGCACCUCCUCCGAGGGAGGGGGCUGUGCGACGCUGGCCCAGUGCAUGUGAAGAACAUUGCCCAUGAAAAGAUGAGAUCUGGGGGUUGUUGCGCCAGGAGGCAGCUGCUUAAAACCACAGUCCUAACAGCAAAGGAAACGUUAACAGUGUUUCUAGGCUGAAACUCUAAGACAAAAUCAUGAUAAACUUUGGAGAGCUGGGUGUAGCCGUUUAGGAACCAGUUCCUGCAAGAAUUCCUACCUGGUUUGACCUUUGUAAUAGAAAGCAGGGGCACUGAGGACCGCCUCGCAGGUCCUUACAGCUCAAAGGAAAAGCCCAAGACGGCAGUCACCUUCUCUCUGCUUUUGACCUAGUGAAUGAACCAGUGCAUGUCUUUUUUU